rnacentral:rRNA from 1 species
GACGAACGCUGGCGGCGUGCCUAAUACAUGCAAGUAGAACGCUGAAGAGAGGAGCUUGCUCUUCUUGGAUGAGUUGCGAACGGGUGAGUAACGCGUAGGUAACCUGCCUUGUAGCGGGGGAUAACUAUGGGAAACGAUAGCUAAUACCGCAUAACAAUGGAUGACACAUGUCAUUUAUUUGAAAGGGGCAAUUGCUCCACUACAAGAUGGACCUGCGUUGUAUUAGCUAGUAGGUGAGGUAAAGGCUCACCUAGGCGACGAUACAUAGCCGACCUGAGAGGGUGGUCGGCCCCACUGGGACUGGGACACGGCCCAGACCCCUACGGGGGGCAGCCGUAGGGGAUAUUCGGCAAUGGGGGCAACCCUGACCGCGCAACGCCCCGUGAGUGAAGAAGGUUUUCGGGUCGUAAAGCUCUGUUUUAAGUCAAGAACGGGUGUGAGAGUGGAAAGUUCACACUGUGACGGUAGCUUACCAGAAAGGGACGGCUAACUACGUG